GGAGAGAUGGCUCAGUGGUUAAGAGCACUGACUGCUCUUCCAGAGGUCCUGAGUUCAAUUCCCUGCAACCACA
rnacentral:tRNA from 1 species